rnacentral:sRNA from 1 species
AUUUCAUUUUGCCAAAAGACACAAUAUUCACUUUCUGGUCUUCUCUCACUCUCCAUGUUCUCCUGAGUGCUCAUUUUGUAAAUGCCAGUUAUGACCCAUGCUGGAUAGUUCUCUGGUUGUGGUCGAAGCUUCUGUAGGUAUGUCAGCUUGCCUUAUGUUACUUCAAAGCCUGCGCUCAACUGUUCUUGAAGAGGAAUUUCCCUUCCUUUAAAGGCAUCAUCUUUCCAUUUUGGAGAGAACAGUAGAAUGCCACUUCUAAGCGUGCUAUGUCACCGUACAAUCUUCCUCUUAGAUGGCAGAGAUGCAUGGGAUGUGAGCAGGAUUGUUUUAUAGCUACUGCUAAUUAGAUCUAGAGCAUUUGGAGGGCGGUUCCAUUUGGAACAACCCUCUAUACUUUGGUGUCUAGUUUUUUUCCUAGAAGAUUUAUUCUAUUUUUUAAGCUGAGUACAAUUUUUGCUUAAAAUGUUCUAUUCUAUUAUAAUGGCUAUGCCAAUUCAGAAAGCAAAACAAAAUUUGUUUGGACAAAACAGAAAUUUUUCCAAUGGCCAUGUAGUUUGUGAAAAAAAGCAGCAGCUGGAGUUGGAUUCUAUUGUAGAAGAAACCAUAACAGGAGAUUAUGCCUUAAUCAUAAAUGGCCACAGUUUGGCUCAUGCCCUAGAAAGUGAUGUGAAGAAUGAUCUCCUAGAACUUGCUUGCAUGUGUAAGACUGUGGUUUGCUGCAGGGUCACUCCACUCCAGAAAGCCCAAGUGGUAGAGCUGGUGAAGAAGUACAGAAAUGCUGUUACUUUGGCCAUUGGUGAUGGAGCCAAUGAUGUCAGCAUGAUUAAAAGUGCUCACAUUGGUGUUGGCAUCAGCGGCCAGGAAGGAUUACAAGCAGUCUUAGCCAGCGACUAUUCAUUUGCACAGUUUAGAUAUCUCCAGAGGCUUCUCCUUGUUCAUGGAAGGUGGUCUUAUUUCCGAAUGUGCAAAUUCUUAUGCUAUUUCUUCUAUAAGAAUUUUGCGUUCACACUUGUGCAUUUCUGGUUUGGUUUCUUCUGUGGUUUCUCAGCCCAGGUUGGUAAAAAGCAUGCUUUUUUUUUUUUUUUUUUUUGUAUGAUAUUGCAAAUGACUUUUCUUCAUAGCUCUUUACUAUAAAUUAAGCGCAUUUUUUAAUGGCUGAUUCAAGUAACAGUAUUACAAUUAUGUAAUUGAUAGUUGACUUGAGUUUUGCACCCAAGAAGAAUAUGUAUCUAGCUGGAAUUUUAUUUAUUUAUUUUCUUAUGUAGAUAGUCAACCAGUGAGUACUCCUUCCGUGCAUACUUAAGUUUUUGUUGAAAUGUUUUUGGUAUGAUGACAGGUAAGCUUGUUGUAGAGAUUUAAUUUAGAACAGAAGUCUGCAAAUCACUAAUAAGAAAUGUUGAGGUAUCUUUACUGGGAAGAUGGUUUCUUGUCCAACACACUAAAUGUAUCUGGGCUGUUUGGUACUCUGACAUCAAAGUUGUUUAGACAGCAAUUCAUCAGCUAAAAGUUGAUCUAUAGAUAAUGCUGGUAGGAAGAAAGAAAAAUUAGCAAAUUUAUAAAUUAGGAUUCUAUUUUUGUAUCACUUCAUAUACAUUAAAGGAUAGUUAUUUAACCACACAUCUUCAAUAUCAGAAAAGUUUUAACCCAAUGAAUCAACUGUAAAAUGUAAUGUCUAUAUCAUUUAAAUAUACUUAUUAAUUUAAAAAAUUUUUUACCAAAAACUUAAAUGUAGAUAUGGCAUUGACAUUUUGAACAACAAUACAAGAAAAAGAUUGUCCUUGAAAAUGAAAUGGUAACCAUAACUCUCAGAGAUUUAUUCAAUUGUUCUUCCCUUCUUUGGGUUUAAUCAAUGACACUGGAUUCAACGAUAUGCAUGAAGGUGAUUUUUAAAAAAUCAUUUUAUUCAAAAAGACUGAGUAUAAAUGAAAUCUUUGCAUCUUCUUCUUACAUGUGCUAAGGGAGAUUAGUGAAUUCCUUUUUACAAUGAAAAUACAUUUUCAACAUUUUCCCCUUUUUCUGGGAAGUUGAGAUUUCUUAAAGUGAGGCACACCUGUUCCCAUUCCUAAUUUUCUCUUUUUAGGAUAACAUGCCCCAAACUAAGAGUAGAUUAUGUUGACAUUUUUGCCUUUUUUUGUUAAUCUCUUGACAGUUGAAGUAAAGCAGAGUCUUGAUUUUAGCUACUCAGAAGCAGAAGUUAUCUUAGUGCUACUUCAAAGUAGGCAUGGGGCUGGGGAUAUUUACGUGCUCAUAAUUCCUCCUUUGUCCAACAAAGACAAGCAUCGGAAUGUGGCCUGUGGCUCCCUAGUCUGUUGAUUUUCCUUCCAAAUAAGAACAAAGCAAGACCAUCUGCUAACGGGUGUUUCUAAGAGAUCUAAUUUUCAUAUUCCAAAGGCUUAAGGCUGAAGAAUCUCAAGACUAUGAAGGGACAAACCCCAUUUAAACCUCUUAGAACACAGAAGAGUAGUCAGUGAUUUGUAUUUGCAGACACACUAAGCUUGAAUAGGCAACUGUUCCACUAAGUUGUCUGUUAAAACUGUGAAGUUGAAACUAACGUUCAAUGACUUCUAACCUCUACAUUUAGGUUAUUUUCUGGGUUCUGAUAAAAUUGGUCAGAGCCAAAUGUGAAGCAACUAGAAUUUUUAUUCUUUCACUGGUAUUUGCAUUUUAAAAGAGAACAGCAAGGGAGAACAAUAAUUGCCCCAAAGACAUGAGCAGCUUGAUGGUUGAACCCAGCUGUAAGGCACACCACCUGUCUGUGAUUAGGUUUCUGAAAUGUUUGAUUUAACUAACAUGUUUCUUUUCUGUGUCCCUUUCUUUCCCUUUUGUUUUUUUACCCUGAAAGCUCUAGUUAAUUGCACAAUCUUCAUUUUGAAUCCAUUGUUAGUCCCAGUUGACCAUCUGUGUUCUUUCCUAAGCCAGUGAAUUGGGUUGGGCCAGUGGUUCUCAAGCUUUAGCGUGCAUGGGAAUCACCUGGAGGGCUGGUUAAAGCACUGCCCACUGGGCUCUAGCCCCUAGAACUGUACUUUGAGAACCACUGGGCUAGAAAACCUAGAAGAAUAUCCCAAGUUCUGCUUCCUUGAACCCAGACCAGAGUAAAGUCCAAUCUGCUGACUUUUUGUUUUGUCAACAUUAGAUCCUAUUCAUCUUUUCUAAAGCAGAGGGGCCAGUUAAGCCAACAGCUGAUCUCCCCUAGUUGAAUUUUUCCAGAGGAUUUAAAAUCCUUUCAGCCCUCUUGUCAGACCACUGUCCCUGAAGCAUAUUUUACCUGCACUAAGACAGGGCCAGGUGGAAAACGGAUGUCUGUUCAGGGUACAGGAUUUCUUUCCCCAGUUUAGCCAGUCUAUUAUCUCUUACCUAGCUUAACCAUUAGCUCCUUGAGGAAAAGAAGUACAUCUAACUCAUCAAUACAUCUGUAAUAAAAUCUUGAAUGUUACCUGCC